AUUGAACGCUGGCGGCAGGCUUAACACAUGCAAGUCGAGCGGAGAUGAGGUGCUUGCACCUUAUCUUAGCGGCGGACGGGUGAGUAAUGCUUAGGAAUCUGCCUAUUAGUGGGGGACAACAUUCCGAAAGGAAUGCUAAUACCGCAUACGUCCUACGGGAGAAAGCAGGGGAUCUUCGGACCUUGCGCUAAUAGAUGAGACUAAGUCGGAUUAGCUAGUUGGUGGGGUAAAGGCCUACCAAGGCGACGAUCUGUAGCGGGUCUGAGAGGAUGAUCCGCCACACGGGGACUGAGACACGGCCCAGACUCCUACGGGAGGCAGCAGUGGGGAAUAUUGGACAAUGGGGGGAACCCUGAUCCAGCCAUGCCGCGUGUGUGAAGAAGGCCUUAUGGUUGUAAAGCACUUUAAGCGAGGAGGAGGCUACUGAGACUAAUACUCUUGGAUAGUGGACGUUACUCGCAGAAUAAGCACCGGCUAACUCUGUGCCAGCAGCCGCCGUAACAC
rnacentral:rRNA from 1 species